rnacentral:lncRNA from 1 species
AACUGUUACUAACAGACUUGUUCGUUAGGAGGCUGGGGCUGUGUAGCCUAUUGUGUCCACCCAACCCACACUCCAUGCCCAAGGUCCUGACCCACUCAGAACAGCAGGUCACGUUAGCAUCAGGUCAAGUUUAGGUUUUUAUCACAGGGUUGAAUUCCCACACUAAAGAGCAGUUGAUGGGAGGUUUCAAGAUGAGGACGUCUCUUCAUUGGUGAUUUUAAGAGAGAAACCCAGAGAACUGGGGGAUUUGGCUUGUCUCAAUGAUGCUAAGGAAAGAUAUGGCCAUGAUUGGCAAGCAUGUGGAUGGUUUGGGGACCGAGGUGUCUCUGUCAGUGGCUGGUGGGACUAAAUGUAGGUUCUCUAGGUGCAAAGGAUAUGGAAGCUUUGGGGGGAAGCCACUGUGAGGCGAAGGGUGGAGGCUGCAGAGACAUCAGCACAAACUGACAGCUGUGGUGACCAGAGCUUAGGGCCAGCAGUGACAAGGACAGCUACAAAGAGUAAAACUGCUGGAGAUUGUCCUGGUGCUGUAAUUUAAAGAUCUUUUGGUCCUCACUGAAUUAGUCAUGUGCAGUGUACAAAUGUUGUAAUUUCCAUUCUCCUCUGCCAACACAGCAUGACUCCCAGGUAUCCUCAUUACCAGACUUUCCUUUUUAACAAAGUGCUGUCUGUGUUUUGUUUUUUAAAAGUCUUGCCAGGCACUCGAGUGACAGAGACAGGUGGAUCUCUCUGAGUUUGAGGUCCCAGAUCAGCCAGGGCUACAUAGACCCUGUCUCAUAAAAAAAAAAAAAAAGUUUUGAAAAGCAUUUUAGAUUUUACUUUUUGUUUUUACUAUGACUCCUUGUUUGUUUGUUUCUUACUGAUUUUGGUUUGGUUUGUUUUUGUUGUUGUUUUUGUUUUGAUGGGGGGUUGGUUGUAUUCCCCGUUUUCACCGUCUACUGGGGUUAUCCUGUGAGGUUGGGUGCCUCCACUCUGACAGCAAAUGGAUUCAGAAUCUACCCUUUUGUUCCUUUGGAAGUUGAGCAAGCUGUGGUUUUCUCCAACUCCAGACAACAUUUCUCAGUGAAGCGAGGUUGGAUGGACACUAGUUGGCAGCAGAGCUGCCUGAAUCCGGCCUACAUACUCACCGUGCUGUGUACCCCAGAGUCAGUGCGGACACUGGGAGGUUCCUGAUGGUGUUAUUUAUAUUGUACUUUUUUUUUACUGCAAGAUGUACACAAAUAAGCCAUCAAUGUUGUAUUUGCAGUGGCUAAGGAAUUCUUACACCCAGUUUCCUUGGACUUAAUGAAGCCAAUUAAAAAACUGUGAAAAUCAAUAUCAGUCUGUAGUGAUGGUAUGACUCGGCACAGUGCCUGCCUAGUAUGUACAAAAACCUUGGUUUAAUCUCUAGCACUGUAAAAACUGGGCGUCUUGAUGCACAUUUUUUUUUUUGUUGUUGUUGAUGCACACUUUUAAGUUCAAGGUCACACUUAACCACAUAGCAAAUUCAAGAUCAACUUAGGCUACAUGAGACCCCACCUAAAACAAAACAGAAAACCAAAUACAUAGUUAAUUAAUUCUAGCAAGCAAUGCAAACUGAGGGGGUUGCUUGUCAUAUUUAAGUUGAAAAUAAACAUGAGGGAAUUCAUCUUGG